rnacentral:rRNA from 1 species
CAAUGGCAUCUGAACUGUCCACGGGUGAGUAUGCAUAGGAAUCUACCUAGUAGUAUAGGAUAGCCACUAGAAAUGGUGGGUAAUACUGUAUAAUCCCUGCGGGGGAAAGAUUUAUCGCUACAUGAUGAGCCUAUGUUAGAUUAGCUAGUUGGUGGGGUAAUGGCCUACCAAGGCAGUGAUCUAUAGCUGGUCUGAGAGGAUGAUCAGCCACACUGGAACUGAGACACGGUCCAGACUCCUACGGGAGGCAGCAGUGGGGAAUAUUGGACAAUGGGCGCAAGCCUGAUCCAGCUAUGCCGCGUGAGUGAGGAAGGCCUUAGGGUUGUAAAACUCUUUCAGUAGGGAAGAUAAUGACGGUACCUAUAA